GACGAACGCUGGCGGCGUGCUUAACACAUGCAAGUCGAACGGAAAGGCCCUGUUGUUGUGGGGUGCUCGAGUGGCGAACGCGUGAGACACACGCGAGUAACCUGCCUCUGACUUUGGGAUAACUUCAGGAAACUGGGGUUAAUACUGGAUAGUUGCUCCGCCUGCAUGGUGGGGGUAGGAUAGUGCCGGAGGAUGAGGAUGGGCUCGCGGCUUAUCAGCUUGUUGGUGAGGUAGUGGCUUACCAAGGGUUCGUUGGGUAGCCGGCCUGAGAGGGUGACCGGGCACCUGGGGACUGAGAUACGGCCCAGAGUACUACGGGAGGCAGCAGUAGGGAUUAGUGCACAAUGGACGGAAGCCUGAUGAAGCAACGCCGCGUGCGGGAUGAUGGCCUUCGGGUGGUAAGCCGCUUUCGCAUGUGACGAAGAGUAGGUGAAGGUAAUGGGUAAAGAAGCACCGGCUAACUACGUG
rnacentral:rRNA from 1 species